GGAGCAGCCAGUCACGGGUCACUCACUGACUCACAUUGAAAAAUAGCACAGAAUGAAUUGUUGUGUAUUUAUUUUAUUUUCAAUUUAGGUUGGAUUUUAUUUGUGUGCAGCGCAGAUUUUCUGUGCGUUGAGACUGUGUCAGGAGUGCGCAAUUGCGGACGCGCGCAGCUUUGAGGAACAGUGGCUCCCAGUGGCUCCGACCACUUCCCACGCCUGCCGAGAGAAAAAGGCUGCUUUUCUUAUAUUAUCGCUCGGCCGUUUCGAAGAAAAAGGUAGAAACACCUCAUAAAGUCCUUAAUGGGAUUUUUGAAGAUUUGGCCAAAGAUGACUUCAAAAAAUUCAAGUGGUUGUUGCAUGAUGAGUUGAUAAAAGACUUUGAGCUCAUUCCAAAGUCUCGACUGGAGGAAGCAGACAGGAUGGACACAGUGGAUCAGAUGUUUCAGAGCUACUGCAUCUACACCAUUAAAGUUGCUGUAAAGGCUUUGGAGGAGAUUCCCAGAAAUGAUCUCGUGGCGAACAUCCCAGAAAGCAUCAAAGAACCUGAAGGAUGGACUCUGGACAUGCCUGGUUGAAAUGAACAUAAGGAACAAGUUUUUAGAGAGACAAGCUAACAGGACUCCUUCCCUUCCUCUCCUCCACAUCCUGGCUCUUCUCGCCCAGAUCUGCCUCCAUCGUUAUGCUGCUUCCUCCUCAGCUUCAAGGUGCUUUUAUGUUCAUAUUUUGAAUUCACAUUCUAACGUAUGGUUCAAAGGAAAAGAAAUACAGUUAUUCUGUUGUUGUGCAUGUUCUUUUAUUGUAAAUAUCUGUAGAAUACAGUUAAAAUUAGGGAUGGCUCGAUACCACUUUUUCACAUCCGAUACCGAUAUCGAUACUGCAGCCUUGAGGAUCGGGAGAUACCAAUCCGAUGUGAAUCUUUUUGCAUUCUAAAAGUUGUUAAUAAUACAUGGAUGUAAUUUGCUUGAUACGGACAUCUAAAAACACCACGCUCAUUGUACAACACCUGUUCUGGUCCCCUAAAGAAAGAAGGAAAACAUGUGACAACAAGUUAUGUGUAACUGCUGCGGCUUUAUUAAAACUUAAAGCUCACAUCGCUUUUAACAGCGUUUGUAAACACAACAGACCCAGCUGCACCAUUCAAAUGUUUGAAAUAAAACUGCAACUUGGUGCACAUAUUUAAAUUAAAUUAAAUAAUCCCCGUAUAUAAACAGAAAAGUCACAUUAUAACUCUAAUAAUUCUCGAGACACACAAUCAAAACAUAAAAAUCUAGGCUACGCACCUGAUUUGCUGCACCAAAACAAAAAAAGAAAAACAAGGGUAAACAGUGCAAUCUAGUGUCUUUCUUCUUUUGCAUGCAGCCGCUGAUGUUGUACUGUAUGUAAAACACUCAUGAAACUAAAUAUUAGAAUGAACACUAUUCCUUACCUUACUUAUUAUUAAUUACAAACUCUAAAUUGGAGCCCUGUAAGUUUUCUCCCAUUUGGUACAACCCUGAUUUUCAGGUUAAUCAGCCGCUCCAUUUAGCUGUUUGGGAGCAGAAUGGAAUCACACAUCUCCACCACCUCUUUUCAGAUAAUGUGUUCAUGUCAUAUACAAACUUGCUUCA